rnacentral:rRNA from 1 species
AGAGUUUGAUCCUGGCUCAGGACGAACGCUGGCGGCGUGCCUAAUACAUGCAAGUAGAACGCUGAAGAGAGGAGCUUGCUCUUCUUGGAUGAGUUGCGAACGGGUGAGUAACGCGUAGGUAACCUGCCUUGUAGCGGGGGAUAACUAUUGGAAACGAUAGCUAAUACCGCAUAACAAUGGAUGACACAUGUCAUUUAUUUGAAAGGGGCAAUUGCUCCACUACAAGAUGGACCUGCGUUGUAUUAGCUAGUAGGUGAGGUAAUGGCUCACCUAGGCGACGAUACAUAGCCGACCUGAGAGGGUGAUCGGCCACACUGGGACUGAGACACGGCCCAGACUCCUACGGGAGGCAGCAGUAGGGAAUCUUCGGCAAUGGGGGCAACCCUGACCGAGCAACGCCGCGUGAGUGAAGAAGGUUUUCGGAUCGUAAAGCUCUGUUGUAAGUCAAGAACGGGUGUGAGAGUGGAAAGUUCACACUGUGACGGUAGCUUACCAGAAAGGGACGGCUAACUACGUGCCAGCAGCCGCGGUAAUACGUAGGUCCCGAGCGUUGUCCGGAUUUAUUGGGCGUAAAGCGAGCGCAGGCGGUUUGAUAAGUCUGAAGUUAAAGGCUGUGGCUCAACCAUAGUUCGCUUUGGAAACUGUCAAACUUGAGUGCAGAAGGGGAGAGUGGAAUUCCAUGUGUAGCGGUGAAAUGCGUAGAUAUAUGGAGGAACACCGGUGGCGAAAGCGGCUCUCUGGUCUGUAACUGACGCUGAGGCUCGAAAGCGUGGGGAGCGAACAGGAUUAGAUACCCUGGUAGUCCACGCCGUAAACGAUGAAUGCUAGGUGUAGGAGGUAUCGACCCCUCCUGUGCCGGAGUUAACGCAAUAAGCAUUCCGCCUGGGGAGUACGGCCGCAAGGCUGAAACUCAAAGGAAUUGACGGGGGCCCG